rnacentral:rRNA from 1 species
UCUAACGUCGGGUCAGGAGGGGUGGUAAUACUUAGGGGGCAAGCAUUAAUCGGAAUGAGUGGGCGGAGAGUGCGCGUAGGCGGACCCUCAAGGCGGACGUGAAAUCCCAGGGCUCAACCCUGGAACAGCCUCCGAAACUGAGAGUCUAGAGGGUAGGCGGAGAAAACGGAAUUCCACAAGUAGCGGUGAAAUGCGUAGAUAUGUGGAAGAACACCUGUGGCGAAGGCGGUUUUCUAGCUUAUACCUGACGCUGAGGCGCGAAAGCAAGGGGAUCAAACAGGAUUAGAUACCCCAGUAGUC